rnacentral:tRNA from 1 species
GGCCCCGUAGCUCAGUUGGCUAGAGCGUUGACUGUACUAAAGCCUUCUCAUUGUUGGUGUGGGUUCGAAUCCCACCGAGGCCG